CUGGCUCAGGAUGAACGCUAGCUACAGGCUUAACACAUGCAAGUCGAGGGGGCAGCAGGAUCUGUGCUUGCACAGGUUGCUGGCGACCGGCGCACGGGUGAGUAACGCGUAUCCAACCUCCCCCACAGUAGAGGAUAGCCCGGCGAAAGUCGGAUUAAUACUCUAUGUUGUAUUUCGAGGACAUCUGACGAAUACCAAAGGUUUACCGCUAUGGGAUGGGGAUGCGUCUGAUUAGGUAGUCGGCGGGGUGACGGCCCACCGAGCCAUCGAUCAGUAGGGGUUCUGAGAGGAAGGUCCCCCACAUUGGUACUGAGACACGGACCAAACUCCUACGGGAGGCAGCAGUGAGGAAUAUUGGUCAAUGGGCGCGAGCCUGAACCAGCCAAGUAGCGUGCAAGGAGGACUGCCCUAUGGGUUGUAAACUGCUUUUAUGCGAGAAUAAAGUGGCGUACGUGUACGCUUUUGUAUGUACCGCAUGAAUAAGGACCGGCUAAUUCCGUGCCAGCCGCAGC
rnacentral:rRNA from 1 species